rnacentral:rRNA from 1 species
AGCGAACGUUUGCGGCGGGCCUAACACAUGCAAGUCGAACGCACUAGCAAUAGUGAGUGGCGCACGGGUGCGUAACACGUGGGUAAUCAACCCUUCAGCCUGGGAUAACGACUCGAAAGGGUCGCUAAUACCGGAUACGGCGCGAGAGGCUUCGGCUUCUCACGAGAAAGCCACGCAAGGGGCACUGAAGGACGAGCCCUGCGGCCCAUCAGCUAGUUGGUGAGGUAAGAGCUCACCAAGGCUAAGACGGGUAGCUGGUCUGAGAGGAUGAUCAGCCACACUGGAACUGAGACACGGUCCAGACUCCUACGGGAGGCAGCAGUGGGGAAUAUUGCGCAAUGGGCGAAAGCCUGACGCAGCCACGCCGCGUGAGCGAUGAAGGCCUCGGUC